rnacentral:lncRNA from 1 species
GAAAACAAGUCUAAACCACCAAUGACUGCAGAGCAAAGGAGGUUUGAAGAUCUUAUGACUUAUUUUGUUAACAACGCGUCACCAAAUGUUGACUUUUUGAAGGCCCCGGACCCUCCUAUACCCGCUGGUAUGUUUUUUAUUUAUUUUUAUUUAUGAUACAAGCCAUAGUAUAAACUACAAGGGGGAGGUGGGUGUCUCACACACACUACCGAGUUGUCCUGUGGCUUUGAACUUGAGACAACUAGUCUGCAAAUUAAAGAUCUUUUCCACUAGGCAAAACCUUGUUGGCCUAUUGAUUCUAGAGAUGAAAAGAAGGGAAAAAAAAAAAGAAAAAAAAGAUAGCCCUCCCACCUCCCUCCUCCUUCCUCUUUCCUAAUCCUAUUGGUAUGCUUUUGAUUAUACAUAAUAUAUAUAAAAAAAAGAUCCAUACUGCAUAUACAUAUAUUUCACCAUGCAUAUAUUUUUUUUCUCUCUUCCUAUUAUAUAAUAUCUAUGUAUUCGUUGUACGACAUAAUAUCUAUGUAUACGUUAUAAUUCUAUGUCAUGUGCUCACAAUACUUAUUUUUGGGAUUUAUCUUCUUCAUUAACCAAAAAAAUUAAAAAAUUAAGUAAUUAUUUUUAUUGCUUUUGUUGUAUAUAACAAUGGGUCUACAAAUUGCACACAGGUGAAUGUAGGUAUUGUUUAAAGGUGGAUGAUCACAUUACACAACUGUGCCCCUACAAGUAUGAUGUCCCAAAGAAUGCAAUUCUUGGCAAGGGCUGUUCGGUUCAGUGUGUUGUCUGCGGAUGUAGGUUUAGAGACUCAUGUUGUGCCAAAUGCGGCCAUACCCGUGGACGUGCAAUCCUCAUGGAUUGUAGAAUCUGUGGGAAGUCAUAUGACCACUGGCCUGAUAUGUGCCCGCAACGCGAUUUGAAUUCUUCUUUUACGUGCGACCCUUAUACUAGUUAUAUUUCUUUC